rnacentral:rRNA from 1 species
CCUACGGGAGGCAGCAGUGGGGAAUAUUGGGCAAUGGGCGCAAGCCUGACCCAGCAACGCCGCGUGAAGGAAGAAGGCUUUCGGGUUGUAAACUUCUUUUCUGAGGGACGAAGCAAGUGACGGUACCUCAGGAAUAAGCUACGGCUAACUACGUGCCAGCAGCCGCGGUAAUACGUAGGUGGCAAGCGUUAUCCGGAUUUACUGGGUGUAAAGGGCGUGUAGGCGGGACUGUAAGUCAGAUGUGAAAACCAAGGGCUCAACCUUGGGCCUGCAUUUGAAACUGUUGUUCUUGAGUGCUGGAGAGGCAGUCGGAAUUCCGAGUGUAGCGGUGAAAUGCGUAGAUAUUCGGAGGAACACCAGUGGCGAAGGCGGAUUGCUGGACAGCAACUGACGCUGAGGCGCGAAAGCGUGGGGAGCAAACAGGAUUAGAUACCCCAGUAGUC